UGCGUAGGCGGCGCGGUAAGUCGGGUGUGAAAUCUCGGAGCUUAACUCCGAAACUGCAUUCGAUACUGCCGUGCUUGAGGACUGGAGAGGAGACUGGAAUUUACGGUGUAGCGGUGAAAUGCGUAGAUAUCGUAAGGAAGACCAGUGGCGAAGGCGGGUCUCUGGACAGUUCCUGACGCUGAGGCACGAAGGGUCAGGGAAGGCAAAACCG
rnacentral:rRNA from 1 species